rnacentral:lncRNA from 1 species
UGCCUAUCUUUAUGCACAUUAAAACUAAUCAGAUUAGUUUGCAAAUGCAUCCCAUUUUUCUAACUGAGAAAUUAUAUUUAGCUGAAUAUUUUUUUAUCAUCAAACGUAUAUUUAGCAUCAAUAAUGCAUUCAUGAGCAUAAAUCUCUUGUGGAGACAUGUAACUGUAGAUUGAUAGUGCAUCUAUGAAAUUAAUGAUUUCAAAAUAUUAAGAGUUGAUUCCACAACGAUCCUGGAAUGUCAGAAGUACAACCUGAAGUCAUAUGGGAAUGCGAGGAAUUAGUACUUGAUUUCACAACAUGAUAACAUAACCAAUCAUGUAUAAAAUAGAUACAUAGAUAUUUUAUUAAUUUAAGAAUUAGACAUGCUUUCUUAAGUAUUCAAUCCCAAAUUUUACAUGGGAAUAAUAUUAGAAAGUCAUAUUUAUGAGUGCAGUGAUUUUUUAAUGAUCAUGGAGCAGCUAGUUUGUAGUAUUAUGGCCAAUUCAGAUUUGGCUCAGAUCGCUAGACAAGUUUUUCAAAUUCUUUUACAGAAUAGAUUCAUAUUCAAGGAUUUGAAUAAAAAACUUUAAAUGAGAGCAUAUUGGCUGCACACGUUUGCAGGAAUCAGACAGCUCAUUUUCGUCUGAAAAAUAUGCAGGGAAUUCUGUUAUGCAAUUUCACUACAAAAUGUCAAUUUUGAUACAUUUGCAAAUGAGGCAAGCUAUGCACCUGGAAGGAGACAUUGAUGCAAAAAGUUGCAUCUUAAUCAGGUCAGAAAUUUUAACAAAUUUAUGUCUUGAUGUCUACAUGAAAACAUGCAUUUGUAGCCUUUAUUUGCGGCUGUAGUAUUUACCUACUAGUAAUUUAUCAAAUGAGGAUAGUUUGUACAUGUCAAACUGAUAGAGCUCAUAUUAAAGUUAGUAAUAUAACUCAACUUGAUAUUUAGAAAGUUGCUCAAUAUGAGAAUGAUUUAUGAAAGGGCGAGCAGGCUAUUUCGCAAAUUCUACUAAGGCAAGUAAGUGCCUAUUCCUGCUCGAUCGCCUAAAGGACCAGCAGGCUAUUUCGUAAAUUCCACUAAGGCAAGUAAGUGCCUGCUUCUGCCCGGUCAACGAAAGACCAGCAGCUAACUUUAAGAAACUUCUGCUAAGGCAAGUAAGUGCCUACUUCUGCUCGGUCAACGAAAGACCAGCAGCUAACUUUACGAAACUUCUACUAAGGUAAGUAAGUGCCUGCUUCUGCUCGGUCAACGAAAGACCAGCAGCUAAUUUUACGAAACUUCUACUAAGGCAAGUAAGUGCCUACUUCUGCUCGGUCAACGAAAGACCAGCAGCUAAUUUUACGAAACUUCUACUAAGGCAAGUAAGUGCCUGCUUCUGCUCGGUCAACGAAAGACCAGCAGCUAAUUUUAUGAAACUUCUA